rnacentral:rRNA from 1 species
GACGAACGCUGGCGGCGUGCUUAACACAUGCAAGUCGAACGGAAAGGCCCUGCUUUUGUGGGGUGCUCGAGUGGCGAACGGGUGAGUAACACGUGAGUAACCUGCCCUUGACUUUGGGAUAACUUCAGGAAACUGGGGCUAAUACCGGAUAGGAGCUCCUGCUGCAUGGUGGGGGUUGGAAAGUUUCGGCGGUUGGGGAUGGACUCGCGGCUUAUCAGCUUGUUGGUGGGGUAGUGGCUUACCAAGGCUUUGACGGGUAGCCGGCCUGAGAGGGUGACCGGCCACAUUGGGACUGAGAUACGGCCCAGACUCCUACGGGAGGCAGCAGUGGGGAAUAUUGCACAAUGGGCGGAAGCCUGAUGCAGCAACGCCGCGUGCGGGAUGACGGCCUUCGGGUUGUAAACCGCUUUCGCCUGUGACGAAGCGUGAGUGACGGUAAUGGGUAAAGAAGCACCGGCUAACUACGUGCCAGCAGCCGCGGUGAUACGUAGGGUGCGAGCGUUGUCCGGAUUUAUUGGGCGUAAAGGGCUCGUAGGUGGUUGAUCGCGUCGGAAGUGUAAUCUUGGGGCUUAACCCUGAGCGUGCUUUCGAUACGGGUUGACUUGAGGAAGGUAGGGGAGAAUGGAAUUCCUGGUGGAGCGGUGGAAUGCGCAGAUAUCAGGAGGAACACCAGUGGCGAAGGCGGUUCUCUGGGCCUUUCCUGACGCUGAGGAGCGAAAGCGUGGGGAGCGAACAGGCUUAGAUACCCUAGUAGUCCACGCUGUAAACGGUGGGUACUAGGUGUGGGGUCCAUUCCACGGGUUCCGUGCCGUAGCUAACGCUUUAAGUACCCCGCCUGGGGAGUACGGCCGCAAGGCUAAAACUCAAAGGAAUUGACGGGGCCCCGCACAAGCGGCGGAGCAUGCGGAUUAAUUCGAUGCAACGCGUAGAACCUUACCUGGGUUUGACAUGGAUCGGGAGUGCUCAGAGAUGGGUGUGCCUCUUUUGGGGUCGGUUCACAGGUGGUGCAUGCCUGUCGUCAGCUCGUGUCGUGAGAUGUUGGGUUAAGUCCCGCAACGAGCGCAACCCUUGUUCACUGUUGCCAGCACGUUAUGGUGGGGACUCAGUGGAGACCGCCGGGGUCAACUCGGAGGAAGGUGGGGAUGACGUCAAGUCCUCAUGCCCCUUAUGUCCAGGGCUUCACGCAUGCUACAAUGGCUGGUACAGAGAGUGGCGAGCCUGUGAGGGUGAGCGAAUCUCGGAAAGCCGGUCUCAGUUCGGAUUGGGGUCUGCAACUCGACCUCAUGAAGUCGGAGUCGCUAGUAAUCGCAGAUCAGCAACGCUGCGGUGAAUACGUUCCCGGGGCU